CAGAUACUCUGUCUCUUUUGAAUGUUUUAAGCGCUUACACAAGCACGCGAUUUUAAUAUCAGGUAAGAUCCUCAAUUUCAUUAUUGAAUUGCUUAGUAGUGACAUGAACACAGUUGUAAUUUAACAUGAAAGAGAGAUAUUUAUCCAAAAACAGAAGAAGCGUGUAAAUUAGUGCCCAGAAUGGUGUCCAUCAGUCUGACCGUAAACACUUUGUUGAGCGUAGGAAUAGCAUGUCUAUGCAUCGUAACCAUGGAAGCACGACCUACAGACCACGAUGGUGAUUUAAAUGAACUGCUACGAUCGUACUAUGUAGACAAUUAUUCUGAAAUAUCAAAUGGUCUCACAGAUGGAAAUGAUCUUAAAAAUUCUCAAAUUAAAGAGAAUAUAGUACCGUAUAUAUCACAGGUCCGCCCAGAAGUCCGAAGACACAGAAUAAAACGACUAGGAAUUGCUGGCCACGAAAACAUUGAUAUGAUCCUAAAUCACCUGAAAUCAAGUCGGCAAAACAGAUUUAGACCAGCGCUGUCCAUCGGCGGUUCCUUCGCAAAUUUGAGAAAUAUGAUGUCUAAAGCCGGACGUUAGAACGAAAGCCUUGCACGUUUAUUUACUCAAAGAGUAUAUUGUGACUAUGACCACACAUGAUAUAAAACAAUUUUCGUCUACUUUAUAUUUCUAUAUUAUACAAUUGUGGUUGUUAUCUGUGUUAGAAACAGUUGUGAUACACCAUUUUAGUUCUUUAAGAAAUCCUGCUUUUUUCUAUCUCAUUCUGAUUUAAGGGCGAUUUUCGUCUACUUUAUAUUUCUAUAUUAUACAAUUGUGGUUGUUAUCUGUGUUAGAAACAGUUGCGACACGCAAUUCUAGUUCUUCAAAAAAUCCUGCUUUGCUCUAUUUCAUUCUUAUUUAGAAUGAUUUUUUUUCUCGGUAAAUUGUGUUUUUAGGUAAUAUUAUACAAUAAAACUGAAUUAUUUGGCUGGAUUAAAGAUAUUGUAUUAGAGAAAACCAACACCGCUUUAUAAGGUCUUUAAAAUUGCUUAUAAUGAUUGAAAUAAUCUUUGGUGUUUAAUUUAUUAGUUAAUUUAUUUAUUCAUUUGAUAAAAGUAACAUACUUAUAUAGGAAACAACAUCUUAGAAGACCAUAACUUUGUAUGGUUCAUACAAGUCGAAUUUCUUUUUUUUUCGGGUUUUUUGUUAGUUUUUUUUUAUAACUUUUUGUAAACAUAAUUUAUAUAUAAUAUGAGCUAAGUAAUCAAAAUUUAUUUUACAUUCUGUCAAAAUAAUAUAUGGCAUUUCUGUACAGUAAAAGUUAAUUACAUCUGGGUAUAAUUAAUAAGAUUUUCAAAAAUGGUGUUUUAAAUUAUUUAAAAAAAAAUCUGAAAAGAAAAUUAGGGAUUAGCGGGCAAAUCUUUUCAUGGUACUACAUCGAUAAAACCAGAGAAUUCCGAAUAUCUGACAAAACAAGAACAGCGAACAUCCUUAACAAUUUCAAAACAAGCCAAGUAUCUUGAAUAAAUUUGUUUUCGUUCCAUGACCUAGAUCAUGAGAGAUGCAUAGCCAUUUCCUUGAAGAAAUAGGCCGAUUUUUUUUUAAAUUGAUCAACUAUUUCCAAUACUUUUAUGAGACAUGAUAAACUGUAUUCCACUGCAUUUUAAAUUAUUCAUUCGUUAAUUACACAGUGAUGUGCGUUUAAUUAUUUAGUAUCCAAUCAUAAUUUAAAAAUGAAUCCCAUGCAGUGUAGAGGACAGCAACGACAAUUUAUUUAAUUUAUUUUGUUUAGAAUCUUAUUAAUGUUGAUAUUAUUAUACCCUGCAAACUGACUGACCCCUGGAGUGCAUAAGUGGUAUUCAGAAAUCACCUUGUCCGUCUGCCCACAUGUAUAUCCGUAACGUUAUUUGCAUAAUAAUAAACUUCUGUUUUAUGGAAAGAUUUCAUGUUUGUUCUGGAACUUUAUUUUGUUGAGUUGUAUGGUGUCAGCCAUUUCCAUCUCUACCAGACAGUCAAUUCCUGUUUGACGAUACUUUGAAUAUUUAGUACACCUUCUGUGCACGGAACCCAGUAAUGAUAUUUGGGAUAUACUAACAUCGCACGACAUCGGGUGCAACUUUUUUACAUUUUAUUAAUCGUUUUACGAUGUUGUUAGGAAAUAAGUAGUAUACUACGAAAGAAGAAUUAAUCAAGAUGAUAUAAAGAUUUUUUUUAUUGAAAUAAACUUUAUUUUACUGGCAUUAUCUAACAUUUAAUUAUUCGUCAUUAUUUCACCCGAAAAAAACAUACCGUUGGUACUAUUAUAACAUUUGGAAACAUCAUGAGAGCUUAACAUAAGUCGUAAAAAAGACAGACGACGAAAAACAAUAGUUCAUAAAACAUCACAAAGAGAACAAAAAGAACAAAAAGAACCCCACAAGAAAACCAGAUGGUGUACUUGAGUGCUACGAAAGGAUGACCAGUUUAAGUAACAUGCUUUUACAAGAGGCCUAUAACCUUGGAAGAAAAUUCACUUUAUACUGUGAGUUUGAGACGGGGUUUCAGUUGAAAGUUGAAAAGUAAACAUCUCUCGGGUCCACAGAUAUGUUUUCUAUUUUUUCUUGCAUCUAUCAUUAAUCAAAAUGCCAACAAAAACCCGGCAAAAAUUAACAAUGUCGGGUCAAAGUAAGGUAAUGAAAAAUUAAUUGCUUAAUAAGUUUUCAAAUAUUUUUACAGUAACUUCAGUUCCUCUUAGUUAGAAUUUUUAUGUAGACUGAAACAUUCCUUAUCCCUUGUCAAAUUUAACUUUCUUUUAGCAUUUCAAGUUUAGAUUGAUUUGGAGUAUUAUAUUCCGACCAUUCAGCUUUUUAUUGACUGUGUUUACCUGUCUGGUAUUACAAAACAAUGUUCAAAUGUCACUUUUUUAUUUGAAAAUGUAUUUAUUUGCAACGUUGGAUGACUUUUACUAUCAUUGAAAAGAAUUUGACAUAUCUUUUGCAUUAGUUCAAGAUUUGGAUACUUUUCUUUAAAUUCUAUACCUUUUGGUAUAUGAAAAGAUCAAGAUUCAAAAAGUGUUAUUGUUGUACACCAUGACAUUUGAUGAGUUAUUAAAGCUUUUUCUCUCUUUUAA